rnacentral:rRNA from 1 species
GACGAACGCUGGCGGCGCGCCUAACACAUGCAAGUCGAACGGAGCUUAGAGAGCUUGCUUUUUAAGCUUAGUGGCGAACGGGUGAGUAACGCGUGAGUAACCUGCCCUAGAGUGGGGGACAACAGUUGGAAACGACUGCUAAUACCGCAUAAGCCCACGGUGCCGCAUGACACUGAGGGAAAAGGAUUUAUUCGCUUUAGGAUGGACUCGCGUCCAAUUAGCUAGUUGGUGAGGUAACGGCCCACCAAGGCGACGAUUGGUAGCCGGACUGAGAGGUUGAACGGCCACAUUGGGACUGAGACACGGCCCAGACUCCUACGGGAGGCAGCAGUGGGGGAUAUUGCACAAUGGGGGAAACCCUGAUGCAGCGACGCCGCGUGGAGGAAGAAGGUUUUCGGAUUGUAAACUCCUGUCGUUAGGGACGAUAAUGACGGUAC